AUAGCGUCAGUGGUGAGCAUGAGAGCAGCGUCUGGACACCAUAAGCUGGCCGAGGUGGUCUACGGCGAGGAACGGCCGCGCCCGACGCCGUCCUCCAACCCGUACUUCCCAACCCGAUGCAUGCCCAAGGAUUCCGGCGGACCUCGAAGGAAGGACCAAGGCCUGGGACGACUUGUCUUUUCCUCUUCUUCCUCUAACAUCUCCCUGCCGGCUGCUGCUUAUUAGGGAGGGAGGGAGGGAGGGGAAAAGAUAGGUGGCGGUGGCAGCUGGACCUGGCUGAGUUGUUUGGAGAGCUGCGCACACGUCGAGUGACGGCGAGCGCAUCCGACACCGACACACCGAGAGUCCUCAUCUCCCUAUCUGUGUCCCUCAAUUUUCUAUUGGCCAAAACAAAAGAUGCAAUCUAUCGUUGAAAGACCAACUUGUCCGCAAAAUACUUUGCAAACUGUGGCACGUUGAGCAAGGAGGUCUGUGCGAGUUAGAGGUUAUAUGAGACAAGGGCUUGCUCCUUUAAAUGGAAGGGCCAUAAUUAUUAGUCCAAGUGAUAUUGAAGCUACAUUUGAGAAUUUUCCCUACUACCUUAGUGAGAAUACAAAGGAUGUGCUCUUAUCAUGUUCAUUCCUACAUUUGGAAAAGAAGCGAUUCAUUGAGCAGUUCUCUGAAAUUUCUUCAAUAAACCAGCAAAUUUAUCAUCUGGUCCAUCAGGGAAUAAAGGUGAGAGAGCAAAUGAGUUUCUGAAGUCAGAUGAGAUUGUAUAGCAGGUUGACUCUUUGUAGUGCUGGUUCAGAUGUAGGUCAGGUUAUAUGUUCGCCAAAAAAACACAUUAUAUUGCCUUUGUUUUUGACAUUGAGGUGUAAAUGUUGAGAAGUAUAUUCUGAUUGAUAAUAGUUUGAGGAGCAUUACAAAGGACCGCUUCGAAGAAUUUGAAGGAUUCAAGGAAAUGUUUUCUCAGUCUUAUCCAUCACAUAACUUUGGGUUCUAUCAUUUGUGUGGCACAUACAUUUGUAAAGAAGUGAACUGUAUUUGCAACUAUAAACUUUAAUCAAUACAAAUCCACAACUAAGU